CGUAACAAGGUCUCCGUAGGUGAACCUGCGGAGGGAUCAUUACACAAAUAUGAAGGCGGGCUGGAACCUCUCGGGGUUACAGCCUUGCUGAAUUAUUCACCCUUGUCUUUUGCGUACUUCUUGUUUCCUUGGUGGGUUCGCCCACCACUAGGACAAACAUAAACCUUUUGUAAUUGCAAUCAGCGUCAGUAACAAAUUAAUAAUUACAACUUUCAACAACGGAUCUCUUGGUUCUGGCAUCGAUGAAGAACGCAGCGAAAUGCGAUAAGUAGUGUGAAUUGCAGAAUUCAGUGAAUCAUCGAAUCUUUGAACGCACAUUGCGCACUUUGGUAUUCCAAAGGGCAUGCCUGUUCGAGCGUCAUUUGUACCCUCAAGCUUUGCUUGGUGUUGGGCGUCUUGUCUCUAGCUUUGCUGGAGACUCGCCUUAAAGUAAUUGGCAGCCGGCCUACUGGUUUCGGAGCGCAGCACAAGUCGCACUCUCUAUCAGCAAAGGUCUAGCAUCCAUUAAGCCUUUUUUUCAACUUUUGACCUCGGAUCAGGUAGGGAUACCCGCUGAACUUAAGCAUAUCA
rnacentral:rRNA from 1 species